AGGGAACUGGAGUCAGUGCCUGGAGGAGAAGCCCAUGAGAAAACACCAGGAAGGGCUUCCUGUCUACAGAUGGAAAAAACAUGCUGGUGCAUCCUACACAGCUGUGCCAGCUUCUGUGAAUGGGGUCACAGUCCACAGAAGCUGCACUGGGCUGGGUUUGCUCACCUUUGGCACCCUGCAGCCCAGGGUUUUGGCUGCCAAGGGGCUGCUGCUGACCAGCUGCCUGCCCUGCUCUGCUUCUUGAGUGGGAGCUCUGUUGGCCCCCAGGCUUGUGGUGAAAUCACUUGGGGUUGUGGCUGGAAAACUCCCCACGCUCAGGCACCUGGAGUUUUGCUAGGAUAAGAGGCAAGAGACAGAAACUGGAACAUAAGAAAUUCCACCUGAAUACGAGGAAGAACUCACCUCACUGUGAGGGUGACCAAGCACUGGAACAGGUCGACCAGAGAGGUUGUGGAGUCUCCCUCACUGGAGAUAUUCAAAAGCUGUCUGGACACAGUUCUGAGUAAUAAAUACAUUUGGGGGACUCAGACUGAGCAGGGAGGUUGGACCAGAUGAGCUCCAGUGGUCCCUUCCAGCAUUACCCACCCUGUGGUUCUGUGACGCUGGUACCAGCUGUGCUACACUUUGCCAGCACUGGUUGCAUCAUGUAGACAACCCAGCUGCAGCCUGACAACUUCUCUGGCCAAAAAUCCCCCAGCCUGGUGAUGUGUACUUGGCCUGUGUGAUGUAGCCAUAAGGUGCUCGUCAUCAAUGUUUUAUGCAGAUAUUUAGAUUUGCAUGAGCUUCACAAUCACAUUCAAACCCCUUGAGCUGCUGGGGCACUCACAGCUCGCUGUGAGGGGCUGGGGCUCAGCAAUUUAUAGGGUGGAGCCCAUCAUCUGCUUUAAAGUAGCUCCUCAUGAAUGUUCUAGACUGAGAGCAGAGGGACAGUGGCAAUUCCCACUGCUUGUACCCAGGGGAAUAAAGGGAAGUGGGAUUAGUGGGAGUUUUCAGAAGCCUCUAACUCACCAUAGAGCAUAAAUAUCUUCAAGGGUUUGCCCUCAGGUGCUUCUUAAAAAAGCAGCUGGGUUAAAGUGGCUUUGCUAAGUUUGUUCCCAUGAAUAUGAUUUUCCCCAGGCAUGCUUUUUACAUAUACCUGUUAGAUAAAAGCUACCACACAGUAAAAGAAAAACAACACACAACCCUCUUAAUUAAAGAUAUCAGGGCAAGGAGGCUCCUCAGAAAAAAAAAAAAAAAGAAAGUGAUGUGGUUCUAGUUUACAGGGCCCUGAGAAAUAAUGCUGCCCAUGAUUUUUAUGGUGGUCCUCCUGGUUCCUGCACAGAGCCUGGGCUCAGUGGAUGCUGGCAAAUCAUUGCCCAGUGUUGGCAGGCAUUAGAAAACCCAACUCAAAAGCUCCUUCUACCAGCCAGUUUUCUGGGGCUGGUCCCUCUGGGUGUACCCUGCCUGCAGCCUUGUAUCUGUCUCCCUGCUCAGGUUAUCUUCCUGCCUAUCCAGUCCAUGCUGGGAUCCCACUGGCCCCAAUCCCCCCUGGGCUUUUCCAAAUGCAUGAUGUAUUUUGGAGGAUGAGCUCCUUUUAUGCCAGUGAUGACGGAAUGCCUCUCUCCUCCUCAUCCCAUUUUGUCUUCUGUAGGGCUCCCCUGCUUUUCCCUUUUCCUGUAUCAGGUAUAGGUGGGCUCUUCAGCUGCUCUUUGGCAGAGGUGUGACCCCCAGUGUGGGAAGCAGCAAUUUUUACAUGGCUAUUCCUAGCUAGGCAAUCAUGGGCUGUGGAAAUGAUCCUAAGGGAUUCAGGACCUGGGACAAAUGAGUAGUCUACUUUGCCAAGAGCACAUUGUGGAGGAAAUGGAAGCAACAACUGGUGCCAACAGAAAAACCAACUGCUGGAUGUGCCUGAUUUGUGCCAGUUAGUGCAAUUUUGCCGACAGCUUCCUUUGAUGUAAACUCAUUCUUAAGUUUACAAGCCUGAGAUCUUAUAUUUGAAAGCCAAGAAAAUUCUGUUGUUGAAGAUUUGAAAGCUGCAAAGGCAUUUUCUGGUGUGUAAUGACGGUAUGGACCCAUGAGAUAUGCCUUUCAAAGUAUGUCAGUCUGGGACAUUGUG